rnacentral:rRNA from 1 species
CCCAGACUCCUACGGGAGGCAGCAGUGGGGAAUAUUGCACAAUGGGGGGAACCCUGAUGCAGCGACGCCGCGUGGGUGAAGGAGCGUUUCGGCGCGUAAAGCCCUAUCGGCAGGGAAGAAGGAGGACGGUACCUGACUAAGAAGCCCCGGCUAACUACGUGCCAGCAGCCGCGGUAAUACGUAGGGGGCAAGCGUUAUCCGGAUUUACUGGGUGUAAAGGGGGCGCAGGCGGCAGCGCAAGCCAGGAGUGAAAGCCCGGGGCCCAACCCCGGGACUGCUCUUGGAACUGCGCGGCUGGAGUGCAGGAGGGGCAGGCGGAAUUCCUGGUGGAGCGGUGAAAUGCGUAGAUAUCAGGAGGAGCACCGGUGGCGAAGGCGGCCUGCUGGACUGCAACUGACGUUGAGGCCCGAAAGCGUGGGGAGCAAACAGGAUUAGAUACCCUCGUAA